GACGAACGCUGGCGGCGUGCUUAACACAUGCAAGUCGAACGGAAAGGCCCUGCUUUUGUGGGGUGCUCGAGUGGCGAACGGGUGAGUAACACGUGAGUAACCUGCCCUUGACUUUGGGAUAACUUCAGGAAACUGGGGCUAAUACCGGAUAGGAGCUCCUGCUGCAUGGUGGGGGUUGGAAAGUUUCGGCGGUUGGGGAUGGACUCGCGGCUUAUCAGCUUGUUGGUGGGGUAGUGGCUUACCAAGGCUUUGACGGGUAGCCGGCCUGAGAGGGUGACCGGCCACAUUGGGACUGAGAUACGGCCCAGACUCCUACGGGAGGCAGCAGUGGGGAAUAGUGCACAAUGGGCGGAAGCCUGAUGCAGCAACGCCGCGUGCGGGAUGACGGCCUUCGGGCUGUAAACCGCUUUCGCCUGUGACGAAGCGUGAGUGACGGUAAUGGGUAAAGAAGCACCGGCUAACUACGUG
rnacentral:rRNA from 1 species